GGGAGAGAUGGAGACAGAUGCAGGGUGGAUGGACAGAGAUGUGGAGGGAGAGACCGAGGGAGCUGGAGACAGAUGCAGGGUGGAUGGACAGAGAUGUGGAGGGAGAGACCGAGGGAGAUGGAGACAGAUGCAGGGUGGAUGGACAGAGAUGUGGAGGGAGAGACCGAGAGAGAUGGAGACAGAUGCAGGGUGGCUGGACAGACAGGGGGAAGAUGGAUGGCAGCAGAGAGAGACAGGAUAGAUGGGAGUGAUGCACUACCCUAUGGACCCUGGUCAGAAGUAGUGCAUUAUAUAGGGAAUAGGGUGCCUUUUGGGACGUAGGUUCAUUCUGCUGGAAUAGAACACUAAAUCACUAAGAAUCUGUCCUGAGGCUGGGGAGGUUUCUGAUUGGAUUAGAACUGUGGCUGGGGAGGUUUCUGAUUGGAUUAGAACUGUGGCUGGGGAGGUUUCUGAUUGGAUUAGAACUGAGGCUGGAGAGGUUUCUGAUUGGAUUAGAACUGUGCUGGGGAGGUUUCUGAUUGGAUUAGAACUGUGCUGGGGAGGUUUCUGAUUGGAUUAGAACUCUGUUGGGGAGGCAGGGGCUGCUUUUCACAGACACACAUAUUUCCACACUCCCCGCUAGUGCAAACAUGCAUCAGAACAGUAACUGCGUCAUCGCUCUCAGAGACAUGUAAGGGUGUGUCACAACACAGAACCGACUGAUACUGUAUGUUAAUAUGGUAACAGGUUCUGUUCUAACUAACCAAACCAUUCAGAGAGAGGUGUCUGUCUGUGUCUGUCUGUGUCUGUCUGUGUCUGUCUGUGUCUGUCUCUCUCUCUGACUGUCUGUCUGUCUCUGACUGUCUGACUGUCUGUCUGUCUCUCUGUGUCUGUCUGUCUGUCUCUGACUGUCUGUGUCUAUCUCUGUCUGUCUGACUGUCUGUCUGACUGACUGUAAUGUUCUGUUGCCCCGUCAGGCCCACUGUAAUGUUCUGGUCCCCCGUCAGGCCCACUGUAAUGUUCUGUUGCCCCGUCAGGCCCACUGUAAUGUUCUGUUGCCCCGUCAGGCCCACUGUAAUGUUCUGUUGCCCCGUCAGGCCCACUGUAAUGUUCUGUUCCCCGUCAGGCCCACUGUAAUGUUCUGUUUCCCCGUCAGGCCCACUGUAAUGUUCUGUUGCCCCGUCAGGCCCACUGUAAUGUUCUGUUUCCCCGUCAGGCCCACUGUAAUGUUCUGUUGCCCCGUCAGGCCCACUAUAAUGUUCUGGUCCCCCGUCAGGCCCAUUAUAAUAUUCUGUUGCACCGUCAGGCCCACUAUAAUGUUCUGGUCCCCCGUCAGGCCCACUAUAAU
ensembl:lncRNA